CUACGGGAGGCAGCAGUCGGGAAUAUUGCGCAAUGGAGGAAACUCUGACGCAGUGACGCCGCGUAUAGGAAGAAGGUUUUCGGAUUGUAAACUAUUGUCGUUAGGGAAGAAGAAGUGACAGUACCUAAGGAGGAAGCUCCGGCUAACUAUGUGCCAGCAGCCGCGGUAAUACAUAAGGAGCAAGCGUUAUCCGGAUUUAUUGGGUGUAAAGGGUGCGUAGACGGGAAUUUAAGUUGGUUGUGAAAUCCCUUGGCUUAACUGAGGAACUGCAACCAAAACUGGAUUUCUUGAGUAUCGGAGAGGAAAGUGGAAUUCCUAGUGUAGCGGUGAAAUGCGUAGAUAUUAGGAGGAACACCAGUGGCGAAGGCGACUUUCUGGACGAAAACUGACGUUGAGGCACGAAAGUGUGGGGAGCAAACAGGAUUAGAUACCCUGGUAGUCCACACUGUAAACGAUGGAUACUAGGUGUAGGGUUUAAUAAAGACUCUGUGCCGCCGCAAACGCAUUAAGUAUCCCACCUGGGGAGUACGACCGCAAGGUUGAAACUCAAAGGAAUUGACG
rnacentral:rRNA from 1 species